rnacentral:rRNA from 1 species
AUUGAACGCUGGCGGCAGGCCUAACACAUGCAAGUCGAACGGUAACAGGAAGAAGCUUGCUUCUUUGCUGACGAGUGGCGGACGGGUGAGUAAUGUCUGGGAAACUGCCUGAUGGAGGGGGAUAACUACUGGAAACGGUAGCUAAUACCGCAUAACGUCGCAAAACCAAAGAGGGGGACCUUCGGGCCUCUUGCCAUCGGAUGUGCCCAGAUGGGAUUAGCUAGUAGGUGGGGUAACGGCUCACCUAGGCGACGAUCCCUAGCUGGUCUGAGAGGAUGACCAGCCACACUGGAACUGAGACACGGUCCAGACUCCUACGGGAGGCAGCAGUGGGGAAUAUUGCACAAUGGGCGCAAGCCUGAUGCAGUCAUGCCGCGUGUAUGAAGAAGGCCUUCGGGUUGUAAAGUACUUUCAGCGGGGAGGAAGGGAGUAAAGUUAAUACCUUUGCUCAUUGACGUUACCCGCAGAAGAAGCACCGGCUAACUCCGUG